UGCCAGACUCCUACGGGAGGCAGCAGUGGGGAAUAUUGCACAAUGGGGGAAACCCUGAUGCAGCAACGCCGCGUGAGUGAAGAAGUCUUUCGGUAUGUAAAGCUCUCUCAGCAGGGAAGAAGAUGACGGUACCUGAGUAAGAAGCCCCGGCUAACUACGUGCCAGCAGCCGCGGUAAUACGUAGGGGGCAAGCGUUAUCCGGAUUUACUGGGUGUAAAGGGAGCGUAGACGGCUGCGCAAGUCUGAAGUGAAAGCCCGGGGCUCAACCCCGGGACUGCUUUGGAAACUGUGUAGCUAGAGUGCUGGAGAGGCAAGCGGAAUUCCUAGUGUAGCGGUGAAAUGCGUAGAUAUUAGGAAGAACACCAGUGGCGAAGGCGGCUUGCUGGACAGUAACUGACGUUGAGGCUCGAAAGUGUGGGGAGCAAACAGGAUUAGAUACCCUAGUAA
rnacentral:rRNA from 1 species